rnacentral:rRNA from 1 species
AUACGGAGGGUGCGAGCGUUACUCGGAGUCACUGGGCGUAAAGCGUCCGUAGGCGGUCGGGUAAGUCGGGUGUGAAAGCCCCGGGCUCAACCUGGGAAGUGCACCCGAUACUGCUCGACUCGAGUGCGGGAGAGGAUGGCGGAAUUCCCGGUGUAGCGGUGAAAUGCGUAGAGAUCAGGAGGAACACCAGUGGCGAAGGCGGCCAUCUGGCCCGCAACUGACGCUGAGGGACGAAAGCGUGGGGAGCAAACAGGAUUAGAAACCCCAGUAGUCC